UACGUAGGGGGCUAGCGUUGUCCGGAUUUAUUGGGCGUAAAGAGCGUGUAGGCGGCCAGGUAGGUCUGCUGUGAAAACUCGAGGCUCAACCUCGAGACGUCGGCGGAAACCAUCUGGCUAGAGUCCGGAAGAGGAAAGUGGAAUUCCCGGUGUAGCGGUGAAAUGCGCAGAUAUCGGGAAGAACACCCGUGGCGAAGGCGGCUUUCUGGGACGGUACUGACGCUGAGACGCGAAAGCGUGGGGAGCGAACAGG
rnacentral:rRNA from 1 species